UACGUAGGUGGCAAGCGUUGUCCGGAUUUAUUGGGUUUAAAGGGUGCGUAGGCGGCCUUAUAAGUCAGUGCUGAAAUAUCCCGGCUUAACCGGGAGGGUGGCAUUGAUACUGUAGGGCUUGAGUGUAGUUGAGGUAGGCGGAAUUGACGGUGUAGCGGUGAAAUGCUUAGAUACCGUCAAGAACACCGAUAGUGUAGACAGCUUACUAGGCUACAACUGACGCUGAGGCACGAAAGUGUGGGGAUCAAACAGG
rnacentral:rRNA from 1 species